AUCUUAUUAUAAUCAACAGUAAAAAAAUUACUAAAUAGUUACUCCCACUGCAUGGGCAGAAAACCUGCAGUGUUUCACAGAGUCAGAUUGGAAGAACUUCUCUAUAAGGUUUUUUUUAUAUAUUUGGAAGUUAUAAAAAGAAUGCCUUCGUCAGGGGUAAUGUAAUUUCGCUAGAAGAUUAUAAGGACGGCCGUAGCGAAGGGAUGCGGGGGGGGGGGGGUAACUCCCUGGUAUUUGUUCAGUAUUUGUUCCGUUUGUAUAUUUCAGUAUUUCAGGCAAGGUUAGAGGUGACUAAACUAAACUAACUUUAUUUAUACUGGAUAGCUCUAUCAGUUCUAAACUGUCCUUCCUAGAGUUCCAGUAAGAGUCAUCCGUCUUAUUGAUCCAGUGUUACUACAGGAGGAAACCUAAACUAACUUUAUUUAUACUGAAUAGCAUUAACUUUAUCAGUUAUAAACUGUUCUCCCAGAGAUCCAGUAAGUAUCAUCUCUUAUUGAUUUAUUGAUCCAGUUUUCCUACAGGAGGAAACCUAAACUAAACUAACUUCAUCAGAUCCUGG